GACGUAGGGCGCGAGCGUUGUCCGGAUUUAUUGGGCGUAAAGAGCUCGUAGGCGGCUUGUCGCGUCGACUGUGAAAUCCCGCGGCUCAACUGCGGGUCUGCAGUCGAUACGGGCAGGCUAGAGUUCGGUAGGGGAGACUGGAAUUCCUGGUGUAGCGGUGAAAUGCGUAGAUAUUGUGAGGAACACUAGUGGCGAAGGCGAGACUCUGGACAGUUCCUGACGCUGAGGCACGAAGGCCAGGGGGAGCAAACGGG
rnacentral:rRNA from 1 species